rnacentral:rRNA from 1 species
ACGGGAGGCAGCAGUGAGGAAUAUUGGUCAAUGGGCGCGAGCCUGAACCAGCCAAGUAGCGUGCAGGAUGACGGCCCUCCGGGUUGUAAACUGCUUUUAGUUGGGAAUAAAAGAGCGUACGUGUACGCUGUAUUGUAUGUACCAUCAGAAAAAGGACCGGCUAAUUCCGUGCCAGCAGCCGCGGUAAUACGGAAGGUCCGGGCGUUAUCCGGAUUUAUUGGGUUUAAAGGGAGCGCAGGCGGAGAGGCAAGCCAGCCGUAAAAUCGUUGAGCUCAACUCAAUCUCGCGGUUGGAACUGCUUCCCUUGAGUGCACGAGAGGAUGGUGGAAUUCGUGGUGUAGCGGUGAAAUGCAUAGAUAUCACGAAGAACUCCGAUUGCGAAGGCAGCCAUCUGGCGUGUUACUGACGCUCAUGCUCGAAGGCGCGGGUAUCAAACAGGAUUAGAUACCCUGGUA